rnacentral:lncRNA from 1 species
UCGUAUAAAAAGAAACACAAACAUAGGAGCAUGAAACUGAAAAAUGUUUUUGGAUAUCAUCGAACAUGACAUGUUACAGAAGCCAAAUGCACCACCAUGUAAGCAACCAAAUACUGAGAAAGGCUGAUGGGACUCCCCAGCUUCAGAAGCCAAUCUCCUAUCUAGAUUCUUUUGGUAGGCAUAAGGCAUCCUUUAACUAUAAUUCACUCAACUCAAUGAGCUCAUUGAAGUUUAAUCAAAUAUUUUCAUUUAAUGACCAAAAUGUUAAGUAUUUCAGAAAACAUCGCUAGCUCUCUCUAUUGGAUUAUGAUGAGAUUCAUGACAAUUCUGCGAAAUCAGAAAUUCUUUAUCAACAAAGAGCUAUGUUAACAGUUUAUGUAAGUUGAAUAAAUAUACAGAAUUGACUUAUUAUACAAUAGCCAUUAGCCAACAUCAAGACCUUCACAAUUGCAUCAACCUUUACCAGAACAAUGCAGAACAUCCUCUGAGAAGACAAGGUUCAUCCAGACUAGAUAUAUAACUUUUAUUUUCAGGGGCUUUUCUGUUUCAUCCAUAACAUGUUUGUAGAGAAAGAAACUUUUUAAGCUCACGCAGACAACUUUGAAAAACAUAAAGUAUCCCUAUUGAACAUAUCAUGACUAUGUGAUCUUUAUUUGACACAGACCUUCUGAUCUACAUAAGCAUAUCCAAUAUAGGGGGACUAAAUUUAACCACCAGCAGGAUGGGAAAAAAAGAAGUUACAUACAUAAUGGAUAUAGCCAUGUAAACAACCAAAAAUUGCCAGAUUAUAAUAUACUAGUGUAUACUAGUAUAUAGCCAUGCCGCACAUGAUAUGUUUUGAACACUGUUUUUGGAUACAUUGAACUGAAAAAUGUUUUUGGAUAUCAUCGAACAUGACAUGUUAUAGAAGCCAAAUGCACCACAAAACAACAAUAUAAAAGCCUGGUUUGAUUAGUAGGGAUAAGACCAGGCCCCUCCACACAGACAACAAAGAAUAGCCACAUCAUGAUGAAUGAUUUAUAACAUACUUGAUUGAUAAUAUAAUUCUUUUUCCAUUUUUUUCUGUGCGUUGGGCCCUUUUUCAAGUUUUAGUCAGCAUUAUAACACACACAUGUAUAUAUAUAUACAUACAUAUCAAUCCAUUUGGCAGGGGGACACAAACAAGAAGUGAUCAAUUGAUAAAAUUGUAACAAGAAUUCAAGCAAGGAAACCAAACAAAAGGCAGGAACAGAUACUCACUUGCAUAUUGCGGGUUGUCUUACUGUGGGUUGCAGGUAGUAUUGUGUUUCAGAAACACAGGUAUUAUCAAAUGCUGUCCCUAAUAGGAGGAAUACUCAAUAUUCAUCAUAUUGUUUAUCUGUAGCCCUGCCUCUAUUUUCUUAGUAAUAUGCGUGAGCAUUCAGCAACUUUUACAUAGACUUGUACUUUUUUCCCAAGUAUGUCUAGCCUUGAUUAAAUUGUAUACCACUUUCACCAAAUUCAGAGACUAAUAAGACUAUUUAUUCCAAUCAAACUGAAAGACAUAAAUUUACAUUAUUUAUACGAAUUCUUUUCUCCAAAAACCUAAAGAUUACAACUAGAUAGGAAAGAAAGGUGUUCUCAAAAUUUUAGACCAUUUCAUAUUGGGCAGAGGAAAGAAGCUUAUAAACAUGAUAUAACCAGAAAUCUUAGAAAGGCUUUUGUGCGUUCCCUAAUCUAAUCUUCAUAGCGUCAAUACAUCAAACGUGUGGUUCACAUAUAUCCAAAAUCAAAAUUGACUGAGCACCCAAAAUCAGAUUUGAUUAAACACAAAUAGAGACAUGGGAGGCGAGCGAAGCCGUAGGCUAUGGGAUCGAUCGAUCGGAGAGAUAAAGUCGGGUGAAAAUGAACGAAUCUGCACGGGAAUGAAAUAAACCCGGAAUGAUAACAUUUUA